rnacentral:rRNA from 1 species
AACGAACGCUGGCGGCAUGCCUAACACAUGCAAGUCGAACGAAGCCUUCGGGCUUAGUGGCGCACGGGUGCGUAACGCGUGGGAAUCUGCCCUUUGGUUCGGAAUAACAGUUGGAAACGACUGCUAAUACCGGAUGAUGACGAAAGUCCAAGGAUUUAUCGCCAGAGGAUGAGCCCGCGUAGGAUUAGCUAGUUGGUGUGGUAAAGGCGCACCAAGGCGACGAUCCUUAGCUGGUCUGAGAGGAUGAUCAGCCACACUGGGACUGAGACACGGCCCAGACGCCUACGGGAGGCAGCAGUGGGGAAUAUUGGACAAUGGGCGAAAGCCUGAUCCAGCAAUGCCGCGUGAGUGAUGAAGGCACUAGGGUUGUAAAGCUCUUUUACCCGGGAUGAUAAUGACAGUACCGGGAGAAUAAGCCCCGGCUAACUCCGUGCCAGCCGCCGCAGUAA